AUGUUUUCACACAGAAAUGGAGUAUGGGGUUUGAUAACACUGAACCCAGACGAUGAAGGUGUCAAUGUUGUUUAUGUAGCUUUCAAGAAUGCCACUGAUCAGUUGGAGGUGUUGAUCUUCCCGGGCAUUCGGGUUCUCUGGACAAAGAUGGAUCUAGAGAAGGUGUUGUUGAAGGAGAGAUUAUCGAUAAUAGUAAGAAGAACGAGGGAUGCUUUUUUAUCAAGUUUUUGUGCCUUUAAUGUCGUUGAAACUUUGUAA
rnacentral:lncRNA from 1 species